rnacentral:rRNA from 1 species
GACGAACGCUGGCGGCGUGCUUAACACAUGCAAGUCGAACGGAAAGGCCCUGCUUUUGUUGGGUACUCGAGUGGCGAACGGGUGAGUAACACGUGAGUAACCUUCCCUUGACUUUGGGAUAACUUCAGGAAACUGGGGCUAAUACCGGAUAGGAGCUCCUGCUGCAUGGUGGGGGUUGGAAAGUUUCGGCGGUUGGGGAUGGACUCGCGGCUUAUCAGCUUGUUGGUGGGGUAGUGGCUUUCCAAGGCAUUGACGGGUAGCCGGCCUGAGAGGGUGACCGGCCACAUUGGGACUGAGAUACCGCCCAGACUCCUACGGGAGGCAGCAGUGGGGAAUAUUGCAAAAUGGGCGGAAGCCGGAUGGAGGAACGCCGCGUGCUGGAUGACGGCUUUCGGGUUGGAACCCGUUUUAGCCUGUGACGAAGAGUGAGUGACGGUAAUGGGUAAAGAAGCACCGGCUAACUACGUG